rnacentral:rRNA from 1 species
GACGAACGCUGGCGGCGUGCUUAACACAUGCAAGUCGAACGGAAAGGCCCUGCUUUUGUGGGGUGCUCGAGUGGCGAACGGGUGAGUAACACGUGAGUAACCUGCCCUUGUCUUUGGGAUAACUUCAGGAAACUGGGGCUCAUACCGGAUAGGAGCUCCUGCUGCAUGGUGGGGGUUGGAAAGUUUCGGCGGUUGGGGAUGGACUCGCGGCUUAUCAGCUUGUUGGUGGGGUAGUGGCUUACCAGGGCUUUGACGGGUAGCCGGCCUGAGAGGGUGACCGGCCACAAUGGGACUGAGAGACGGAGCAGACGGCUACGGGAGGCAGCAGUGGGGAGUAUUGCAGAAUGGGCGGGAGCGUGAUGCAGCAACGCCGCGUGCGGGAUGACGGCCUUCGGGUUGUAAACCGCUUUCGACUGUGACGAAGCGUGAGUGACGGUAAUGGGUAAAGAAGCACCGGCUAACUACGUG